GACGGAGGAUGCAAGUGUUAUCCGGAAUCACUGGGCGUAAAGCGUCUGUAGGUGGUUUAAAAAGUCCACUGUUAAAAAUUGAAGCUUAACUUCAAAGAUGCCGUGGAAACUUUUAAACUUGAGGAUGAUAGGGGUAGAGGGAAUUUCCAGUGGAGCGGUGAAAUGCGUAGAUAUUGGAAAGACCACCAAUGGCGAAGGCACUCUACUGGGCCAUUACUGACACUGAGAGACGAAAGCUAGGGGAGCGAACAGG
rnacentral:rRNA from 1 species